GUCCGUUGGUGCGUGUGAGUACCCGUGCUGUGUGUUUUGGCUUUCGUGCCAUUGUGGAUUGCACAGAUGAUUACGGGUCUCGUCCCCCCCAAAGAACACGUCAUUUUUGUCUUAGAGGGACAAUAUAAAUAUGAAAGGACUUUUAUGGAUCCAGGUGUGAUUGUCGUGACUGUCACAGCUGCAACCUAACUAUUUAACAUGACUGAUCUUGAAGCAACGCUGCCACCGCUGCUGAUUCCAGGUCUCGCUACCAGAGAGCUACCUGGCUGACGACAGUGGAGCUGCAGGCCACUGACGUCACCAGGCAAUGUUCCCACACCUCAGCUGAGCAGAGGAUCCAAUACAACAAACCAUGCAGUAUAUCCUCAACGGUAUAGCGUUUCUCUUUUAUAUUCUCCUCUACAUUUGGAUUGACACUGGUGCUUGUGUGCAUCUAAGAUGUUUUAUGAGCUUUGAUGAGUGGCAUAACCGUGUGGCUUUAGAAGUAUAACACACAAACCUUUGAUAAUGCUAUCCAUAAAUCUUACAUACAGUACUGUUUUCUAAAAGUUAUUAUUAAAGCUGUUGAU